CGUGUAGCAGUGAAAUGCGUAGAUAUGUGGAGGAAUACCGAUGGCGAAGGCAGCCCCCUGGGAUAAUACUGACGCUCAGACACGAAAGCGUGGGGAGCAAACAGGAUUAGAUACCCUGGUAGUCCACGCCCUAAACGAUGUCAACUAGCUGUUGGGGCCGUUAGGCCUUAGUAGCGCAGCUAACGCGUGAAGUUGACCGCCUGGGGAGUACGGUCGCAAGAUUAAAACUCAAAGGAAUUGACGGGGACCCGCACAAGCGGUGGAUGAUGUGGAUUAAUUCGAUGCAACGCGAAAAACCUUACCUACCCUUGACAUGUCUGGAAUCCCGAAGAGAUUUGGGAGUGCUCGCAAGAGAACCGGAACACAGGUGCUGCAUGGCUGUCGUCAGCUCGUGUCGUGAGAUGUUGGGUUAAGUCCCGCAACGAGCGCAACCCUUGUCAUUAGUUGCUACGCAAGAGCACUCUAAUGAGACUGCCGGUGACAAACCGGAGGAAGGUGGGGAUGACGUCAAGUCCUCAUGGCCCUUAUGGGUAGGGCUUCACACGUCAUACAAUGGUCGGGACAGAGGGUCGCCAACCCGCGAGGGGGAGCCAAUCUCAGAAACCCGAUCGUAGUCCGGAUCGCAGUCUGCAACUCGACUGCGUGAAGUCGGAAUCGCUAGUAAUCGCGGAUCAGAAUGUCGCGGUGAAUACGUUCCCGGGUCUUGUACACACCGCCCGUCACACCAUGGGAGUGGGUUUCACCAGAAGUAGGUAGCCUAACCGUAAGGAGGGCGCUUACCACGGUGGGAUUCAUGACUGGGGUGAAGUCGUAACAAGGUAGCCGUAAAUGAGAGUUUGAUCCUGGCUCAGAUUGAACGCUAGCGGGAUGCUUUACACAUGCAAGUCGAACGGCAGCACGAGAGAGCUUGCUCUCUUGGUGGCGAGUGGCGGACGGGUGAGUAAUAUAUCGGAACGUGCCUAGUAGCGGGGGAUAACUACUCGAAAGAGUGGCUAAUACCGCAUACGCCCUACGGGGGAAAGGGGGGGAUCGCAAGACCUCUCACUAAUUAGAGCGGCCGAUAUCGGAUUAGCUAGUUGGUGGGGUAAAGGCUCACCAAGGCAACGAUCCGUAGCUGGUUUGAGAGGACGACCAGCCACACUGGGACUGAGACACGGCCCAGACUCCUACGGGAGGCAGCAGUGGGGAAUUUUGGAAAUUGGGGGAAACCCUGAUCCAGCCAUCCCGCGUGUAUGAUGAAGGCCUUCGGGUUGUAAAGUACUUUUGGCAGAGAAGAAAAGGUACCUCCUAAUACGAGGUACUGCUGACGGUAUCUGCAGAAUAAGCACCGGCUAACUACGUGCCAGCAGCCGCGGUAAUACGUAGGGUGCAAGCGUUAAUCGGAAUUACUGGGCGUAAAGCGUGUGUAGGCGGUUCGGAAAGAAAGAUGUGAAAUCCCAGGGCUUAACCUUGGAACUGCAUUUCUAACUGCCGAGCUAGAGUAUGUCAGAGGGGGGUAGAAUUCCACGUGUAGCAGUGAAAUGCGUAGAUAUGUGGAGGAAUACCGAAUGG
rnacentral:rRNA from 1 species